GACAAAUCCAAUCCAGCCCGCGCUGAAACAACAACAGCCCGACGCCUCUGCUGCUGAGCUGAAACUGCUAAUUUCUGGGACCAGCCUUUUUUUUGGGCUCUGAACGGGGGAUGGAUGAAUGGCUUGUCUCGCACAAAUGACAAAAAGCCCCCCUCUGCCUUAAUCUCCAUCGCCAAAAUAACCCCAUCUUUUUUUCUCCUUUUGCUUAGUCCUUCAAAAGAACGAACAAGCCACUUUGGGCAAACUUGUCUGGUGGUCUUGAGUGGGCUUCAUGGAUUUGGCAUCAAAUGCAAAUCAGUUUGUAAAUAGACGACCAUGCAUGUUGCUGAAUUAUUUGAUAUAAUUUUGCAAUGCAAUUAGUUUUUUCCCCCUUUAGUUCUCCAAAUGUAUUAAUCUCCUUUUUAAAUAAAACUAUUUCACACAUACUGUAU
rnacentral:lncRNA from 1 species